rnacentral:lncRNA from 1 species
GGAUAUAUUACCAUGAAUAAGGCAAAGCUUGGUCCACAACUCUGAUGAACAAAAAUUACAAAUGGGUUGAAUUAUUCCUUGAGUGCCAAACUUUUGUACAAAGACCUAACAAUGCUAUGUUUUACUUCUGAACCUAAGAUCUUCGUAUUUAAAAUGAAGAGAAAUAUACCAUGAAAAAUCUGCAAGCAGACAUUUCGUUGUAAGGGGUCAUCCAUAAUUGUCAACCAUUUUCCAAAAUGUACAAAACAUACUUUUUCAGACCCCCACCCUCCCUCAAAAAGUGUACAUCAACCAUUUUCAGAUUUCAAGACAAGAAUCAAUCAUUCUUAAUAAAAAAAGAAGAUCCUGUUUAUUAUAGUUUAGUUUAAUAUGGAAAUUUGCAUUGAAAAGAAACUGAAACAUAUCUGACUUUUAUAUGAUGAAGAAAGAAAAAAAGCGUACGGUAAAUCCCCUCCCCCAAGUUGUGUACACUUUGGAAAAUGGUUGACAAUUAUGGAUGACCCCUAAUGUAAUAAUCAUUUGAACACAAAAUUGAACAGAGCAUUCAUUGUAAGAUCCUAAACACAGGACACCGGAUCUGUUUUUCAAUUAAAAACUGUGUAAAUCUACCUAAAGUAUACUCUUGUGUAUCUUUUGUUAUCUCUAUUUUACAAAAUUUUCCUUUGAUCUUACUGACUGACAAUUUCCUUUCUCUGCACAGUAUAGUGAUAUAAAAAAUUAUUUCUAGAAACUAAGGGCGCACACACAUGCCCGUUGUCAGUGAAAUUAACAAGGUAGUCAUAGGAAAAAUAGCAAUAAACAGAUUAUCAUUGGUCAUCUCAACUCGAUUGCUCGAAAAUCAAUCUCGUUGAGAUGAUCAUUGUUAUUCUAUAAUUUCCAUGUAGACAGUGUAUUUAAAUUCUAACAAAUGUACUUGAAAUAAUGAACAAUAAUUCUAAACAGUACUAAAUAGAAUUGGCACCACUAACUAAGUUUUAGCACCUUUUAAAAGUUCCAAAAACAAUUUUUACAACAUAAACAAAUUAAACCAAACACAAACACAAAACAUCUGCAGCUAAUUUGAACAACUACAAUUAAUACAUAGUCUGUGUAUUAUGUGUACAAUGAUCUCAUGUUGAAAAAUGUUAUUCUCAAAAUCAUAACAAAAUUAAUGAAUUUUAAAGUGCGUUUAACUGUCAGACUACAACUUCCUAUCAAAUCAAAUAUUAUAAAUAAUAAUAAAUAAUUUUUUGUGACAUUUAAAUGUCUUAGGUUGAUUUGACCUCAUAAUUUUUAGAAAUCAAGGAACUAAAAAUAUGAAAUAAGAAAUAAUUCUGUACAUGUAUAUCAGUUAAAAUCA